GAACCAGUACCGUGAGGGAAAGGUGAAAAGUACCCCGGGAGGGGAGUGAAAGAGUUCCUGAAACCGGUCGCAUGCAAGCCGUCAGAGCCUGUGUGGUGAUGGCGUGCCUUUUGAAGAAUGAGCCUGCGAGUUAGUGUUACGUCGCGAGGUUAACCCGUGUGGGGAAGCCGUAGCGAAAGCGAGUCUGAAUAGGGCGAGUGAGUGGCGUGAUCUAGACCCGAAGCG
rnacentral:rRNA from 1 species